AAUUCAUCUUAAGCGCCUGAACUAAACAGUUGACGAGGAUUGUAGUUAUCGAAUAUUCGGCGGAUGCUACAACGGAUUGAAGGUUCGUUAGAUAUAUUUAAAAAAGUAAAAACAAUAUUACAACAAAGAAUAUAUCCACUUAAUAU
rfam:Clostridium sp. CAG:417 genomic scaffold, scf2